UGCCAUUUUGAGCGUGUUAUGUUUGUGGGCUGAGCCUGAGACGUGGGAAACUUCGCUUUCUCCUCCCACCUUUCAGCAUGGUUCCGGCCGGCGUUUGUGGCGUUUCUGUAAAGCUGCGAUGGAAAGUGCUGCCUUGACCUGGUUUGUUUGUUUUUAAUUGAGCUCUGCUCGCCAUGACUCCGUUUAAAAGGUCUCGUUGGUCCAGCUUUCUGCUCGUAAUAGUGGCCAGCAGCCAAAUGCUCAUGAAAGCGUUAACUUGCCUUUGUCUCUCUCCCACCCGGUGCCCAGCAGUAUACUGCCUCUGGACUUUGAGGUUCCACGGGUGCUGAAUGAGAGGAGAAUCCCUCUUCUCCUUCUGCCCAAGAAGCAAUCUGUGAAAUGCUAUCAUCGACUCCAGGGGGUGGUUAAAUAGCCGUAUUAAGAAUCAUUAGGAGUGGAUCUACCGCUUUCCAAAAGAAUCUAUCGAGUCAAUAAAAGUUCUUUAGCGAGUCAAUAAAGCGGGGGGCGGGACCACCUCGAUUUGGAGUCGGCAGCCAUGGGAAGUUCCCCCACCAAAUGGUGUUUUUCCCGGACACGGGUGAUUUUGGCCCUUGCAGAAUCCUCCUGAAAUCUUGUGAAUCAGGCGUGUUUCCCCACUUCUACACAUGAAGCCUGCUGGGUGACCUAGUCAUAGUUCUUUCAGAACUCUCAGCCCCACCUACCUCACAAGGUGUCUGUUGUGGGGAGAGGAAGGGAAGGAGUUUGUAAGCCACUUUGAGAUUCCUUCGGAUUGAAAAAAGUGAGUAUAAAUCCAACCUCUUCUUCUUGCUGAAAAUAAUGAGUGCAGGAGUUCUGAAGAAGAUAAAAGUAGGUUUGUUAGUGAGUGGGAAGGAGAGAAAGAAGCAGGAAAAUGAAAAAAGCUUUAGGAGCUGAUGAAAGAAAAAGAUGAAAUAGUAGGGGACAGGGCAGCCAGCUACUUUCACAAGUCUUUGCAGAUUCUUCUCUUAUAAUUUACAAACAAUCUUUACUAUUUUGCCUUCGCCUCAAACAAGGAAGGAGGCCUAUAAUGUGCAUCUGGUAGCAAAGAUUUGCCUGUUGGUGUACAAAGAAACCAGCCCAAAUAUGUACACCCAGUAGAGCCUAUUGAUGUGUGCAAUGAAGUCCUCAUAACCUUUUUAAAAACUCUAAUAAUAUAGAUGAGGUCAUUGGAUGAAUGGUAACAUAAAGCAUCAGAGUAACCAAAAUAUUUUCCUGAUCAUGUAAUAGAGAAAAGCCAAUCUGAAAACUUUCAAAGACAUACAAAUGUUUGUAUGAAAUUAGAAUUAAUUGUCUUGUCUAGUACAUUAAUGUUACUACGGCCACCUGAUUUGUGUCUAACCAAGCUACUUUGGAGGAAGUUUUCAACCAUGGAUAAGGUAAUUUUUUUCCCUUUGGGUCACUUUAUCAGACCAAAUGGUUUCAUAUCAAAGCUGUGACUAUGAAACUAACCUCUCUGCCCUUUAUUAGCAUUUUUAUGGAGAAUAUUCACUGCAGAUUGAUGGAUAGAUUAGCUACAUCUCACUGUGGAAUGAUGUAUAUUCAUGUUAUGUUUGGAAUAUUCAUGUCACAUCGUGCAGCUAUUAACACUUCAAGAGGGUAAGUUUUUGAAGACAUUCUGCUUGGCUGAAUUUCAACUAAGGUACUAGGAUGUAUAAAAUCUACUUCAAGAGAUCAAAGAAAUGUGUUUCACACGUGGUUAUGUAAACAUUGAUUUGACCAGAAAAGGCCUUCAUAUUUGCUGCUAGCAACACCAAGCUUUCCAUUGGUUAAACCAAUGGGCAUGGUAAAUUUUGCUUUGAGAAAGCAGCCCAUGUAUGUAACUAGAUUCUACACACUGGUGACGUAUAGCUUAAAGUCCUUAAGACAGAUCAAUCAAUUUUGCAAUGGGCAAACUGCUUUCAAACUGAAGACUGCAUUUGCAUGUCACAUAAAAGCAAUUCUUCGACUGCAGAAAGUAAACAUUUUAAGCAUAAGAUUUAAUUUUUUGGCCCCAGUUGUUAACUUACAUAUUUGGAACAGAUAUCAAAUUAUUUGCUUUAAAAAAUCAACUUAAAACUGACAGCUCUUUGGUAGUGUUGCUUGUUGUGCAGAAGAGAUGGUUAGUCCUGAGAAAUGUCUCUGGUAGAUUUUGGAACGUCGCUGAAUCCCUAUUUGUUACUUCUGGCAUGUGUCACUGUAGCUAUUGUCAUUCACUGCAGAUGCUGAUGCUGAAGUCAGGGACAGUUGGAUUGCAUCAUAGCCUCUAAUAAGUAAAAAGAGUCAACCAGGAAUUCCUCCUGCGCAAAUCCUGCUAAGAGAAUGACAACUGCAAAGAAAACAUUAUUUUAUUAUGCAGUUCAGAAAGACUUGCUGGGGCAUUGUUUUCUUGGGUAGCUUGUUGCAGAGAUUUCUCUGUGCUUGAUAGGCACCUCUGACAUAAUGUCACUUGUUUGUAUGUCAUCCUGGCAUUUAAAGUCAGAUUACACAGCUGUUUGGAUGGAGUCAUCCAUGUGACUGUUACUGGUCUAAACAAUGUCAUAGAAUAAAACACACUUGUUCCUGUUAGUUUAUGUUGCAACACACCUUUGCAACACUCCUGUUUUCCUAGCUACCUGCAUUUCAGUCGCUAAGAAACAGUUUCCAGUAAGGAAAGCUCUAGCUACCUGUGAACAUUUGUGAAACAGUUUCCAGUAAGGAAAGCUCUAGCUACCUGUGAACAUUUGUGAAACAUCCUCAUUCAAAUAUUGCUCAGUAAACAGUGUUAUUCAAGAAUUCCUCAAAAGUCCUGAUAAAAGAAGGGCAGGUUUAGGAGCAAAUCAGAUUACCUAGGUUGGGGCAGAAAAAAUUGGUUAAAAAAAUGAAAACAUUGACAUGGUUGAAGGGACUAGAUUCAGACUUCCACAGUAGUGUUCUUCCUACAUCAGCUUCCUGUUAUGUUUCUGAUGGAUCCCUGGUGAUUCCCCCCCCCCCGCCCCCUGGUGGGGCAGGGGUGUCACAAGGCAGCAAUAUGGAAGAGGAUAGGACAAGAUCUGUUCUGCAGGCAAAGCUGCAAUCCAGGUUUUUUGGAGCCAAGCCAGUUUUUUAACAGAACUUACAGUGUUGAGUUAGAUUCCGAAGCUCAGUGCCUUCUUUGUCUACAGACUGGGAAUUGUAAUGGCUUAUUUGAAAGGAUAGCUGCGAGGGUAAACAAUAUUACUGAAGAAUCUCAUUGAGUGUUAAAUUGUUAAUAUUGUAUUUACUCAGAAACAAGACUAGGGUUCCCCGCAACACACACCCACAUAUCAGAUAUGCCAUCAAAAAACUGAAAGUGGUUUUUCAUUUACGUACAAGCUAGUUAUGUCCAGUGAUCAAUUUUGUAUGUAUAAAUUUUGGGGUAGUAUCAUCUUACAUUCAAUGUUGCCUUAUUAAUAAAUAUGGUACUAUUCAUAGGAUAAACUGAUUGCCUUGUGCUCAUUGAGAAAUAUUUUGUUUAGACCAGUGAUAUGCAUGUGUAAAAUAUUUUGUGGUGGUUAGUAUGUAAUUGCUAGGUAAUACCCAUUCAACCUGCCUGAAUGAAGGCAAGCUGUUUGGCACAGCUUGGCUAUACCUUUCCUAUUCAACAAGAACUAGAAUUGCUGAGAGCGAAAAAUCUGUUUAAGAUGCUUAUUUGAGGUCCUUAACCCCAGUUAGCAGAUAACAAAAAUGCAGGGAACUGAGAUUAAUCAGCAUGAGCAGGACAAGUCAUUAUAUCUGGGUGAAUUUGAAGCCACUCAUCUCACGUAAUAUGGGAAUGGGAAUAACGUACUUUUGUUUGAGAAUACUUUUUCUUCACUCCAUCUGAAAAAUGCUAUUUAAAUAAAGCUAUUUAAGUGUUAAACUGCUCAAUUCUUCUGAAUGUAUUAACUCUUGAAGAAAUUGUAACCAGUUUGUUGCUAUAAUUGUUUUCAGUUGCUAACCAGAAAGGGAAAUUGAUUGAAGGUAUCAGUGCAUGUUACUGAAAUGAACAGAGACGGAACAUUCCCACAGCAUGUAAAUUAAAGAGGACCUAAGGAUCUAAUGACCUUGUAUCAACUUAAGAAUUCUAUUUUCUCUUGUUAAUGUUACCCAAUGUUUCUGUGGCGGCCAAACAGAAAGCUGCAUCUAGUAUGAUUUAUAUGUCAUGACUGCUGUCUCUGUGAUCUGUAGAAAUACCAUGAACAUAUUAUCCAUGCUCAGGUUCAAGACAAAGCAAAUAUAUCCGAUGCUUAGUUUUGCUAAUGCACAGUGUACUUAAGCAAAUGCAGCUGUUCUUGCUCCAUGUGCAUAUGUAGUGUGCUAGUUUAUUGACAUGGAAUACCUAGGAUUCUACAUGGAGUAUUAUUCAUGAAUUUAACAGCAUCUCUGCUGGUAAGAUGAGAAACAUGUCAAAUAUUCUGGUUAAUACAGUUUGUGAUAAUAUAAUUUGUAACAGUAAGCAAAUCCAUUCUAUACCAAGUUUAUUUUUGAAUUUAUAGGUUAUAGGUGUCUUAAUAAGCACAAGCAAGAACUUUGAAUAGCACAAUGUAAACCUUUUCUUCCACAUAUAUUUAAUCAACAUGCUAUAAAAAUAUACACAAGACA